rnacentral:rRNA from 1 species
UAAGGAUCUCUUGCUGCUUCGCUGACAAGUGGCGGAAGGGUGAGUAAUGUCUGGGAAACUGCCUGAUGGAGGGGGAUAACUACUGGAAACGGUAGCUAAUACCGCAUAACGUCACAAGACCAAAGAGGGGGACCUUCGGGCCUCUUGCCAUCGGAUGUGCCCAGAUGGGAUUAGCUAGUAGGUGGGGUAACGGCUCACCUAGGCGACGAUCCCUAGCUGGUCUGAGAGGAUGACCAGCCACACUGGAACUGAGACACGGUCCAGACUCCUACGGGAGGCAGCAGUGGGGAAUAUUGCACAAUGGGCGCAAGCCUGAUGCAGCCAUGCCGCGUGUAUGAACAAGGCCUUCGGGUUGUAAAGUACUUUCAGCGGGGAGGAAGGGAGUAAAGUUAAUACCUUUGCUCAUUGACGUUACCCGCAGAAUAAGCACCGGCUAACUCCGUGCCAUCUUCCGCGGUAAUACGGAGGGUGCAAGCGUUAAUCGGAAUUACUGGGAGUAAAGCGUGCGCCGCGGUUUGUUAAGUUAGAUGUGAAAUCCCCGGGCUAACCUGGGAACUGCAUCUGAUACUGGCAAGCCUGACCUCGUAGAGGGGGGUAGAAUUCCAUGUGAAGCGGUGCUCAACAUACACG